ensembl:lncRNA
GCCUCGCGUCCUUUAUGAAUGGAAUAGCAUUAGCUUUGGAGUAAUGCUGACUGUGGUUUCUCUCUUUGAGGUUCGUGCCAGGUUUGGAAAACAGUUGUCGUAGCUGUUGUCAGGUAUGUAACAAUGUUUGAUGUAGGCUAAUACUAAAGUGUCAUGUUUUGUGUAAUUAUGUGUAUAAAAUAUAUUCUGCAGACGUCAACGAGGGUUUAUGUCAGAGUUAGAGAACUGUUGUCGGAGCUGCUGCUAGACCCGUCCUGAGUG